rnacentral:rRNA from 1 species
UGGGAAAUAUUGCACAAUGGGCGAAAGCCUGAUGCAGCAACGCCGCGUGAGUGAUGAAGGUCUUCGGAUUGUAAAGCUCUGUCUUUUGGGACGAUAAUGACGGUACCAAAGGAGGAAGCCACGGCUAACUACGUGCCAGCAGCCGCGGUAAUACGUAGGUGGCGAGCGUUGUCCGGAUUUACUGGGCGUAAAGGGUGCGUAGGCGGAUGUUUAAGUGAGAUGUGAAAUACCCGGGCUUAACUUGGGUGCUGCAUUUCAAACUGGAUAUCUAGAGUGCAGGAGAGGAGAAUGGAAUUCCUAGUGUAGCGGUGAAAUGCGUAGAGAUUAGGAAGAACACCAGUGGCGAAGGCGAUUCUCUGGACUGUAACUGACGCUGAGGCACGAAAGCGUGGGUAGCAAACAGGAUUAGAUACCCUGGUAGUCCACGC